rnacentral:lncRNA from 1 species
UAUCAGAAAAUUUAAGCACAAAUAGACCUAACCACAAUGAUUUUCUGGCUUAUGAUAUCCAACGUGGUCGAGAUCAUGGUUUAAGGAGCUAUAUAAAUUACCUUGAAUUUCACACUGGCAAAAAAAUCAGUACCUGGACGCAUCUUGAACCCUUUAUCGCCAUGGAAGAUUUGAACAAAUUAAAAUCCAUUUACAACGACCUGAGCAAGAUCGAUCUUCUUGUUGGAGGUAUGGCUGAAACUAAUUCUUUCGGAGGUAUAGUCGGACCAACGUUUAAGUAUAUUUUGGAGGUUGAUACGAAGUGUAA